CCCGGGAACCCCGGCAGCACCCCGGGAGCCCCGGCAGCACCCCAGGAGCCCCGGCAGCACCCCAGGAGCCCCGGCAGCACCCCAGGAGCCCCGGUACGCAACCCUCCCCCAGGAGCCCCGGCAGCACCCCAGGAGCCCCGGCAGCACCCCAGGAGCCCCGGCGCCACCCCAGGAGCCCCGGCGCCACCCCAGGAGCCCCGGCGCCACCCUCCCCCCGGAGGGGGAUCCCGGCGCGCCACCCUCCCCCCGGAGGGGGAUCCCGGCGCGCCACCCUCCCCGGCAACAACCUGUUGCCAUGUAUUGCGAUUUGUAUCAGUCACAAGCACACAACCCCUUCUAGUAUUAAUGAUGUUUAAAACGUUCUACACGUACGGCGGACCGCAUCCGUCGCAAGCACGCGCAUAUAACCCCCAAAUGCACCAUGAUGAGAAGCACAGCCACGCGUCAAAAAACUUUAAAAACAUCGUUAUCCAAUAUUAAAAACCACACCGAAAUUUACACAGGUGGCACGUUACCGUGUUAGUGUCACCCACUGUACACAAGGCGUGUCGUAUAUGUAGUAUAGGUAUUUGAUGAGGCGGAAGCAUAUCCCGCUUCCAGCGAACGGAAAUAAGGAUCAUCCGUUCCAGCAUUUAUUCAAAGGGGGCACAGAGGGUUCACAUUGUUUAGAGAGAGUUUUUCUUAGUAACCAUUCCAUACUUUGGCAGUAUUGGCCUACGAUUUGGGCGACGUUUCAGGCUGGUCUAUUCUCCGUCCACUUUUCCCCGGCUAUUCUAUCCCAGCAUAGGCUCUUGAAAUAAACAAUGUUUACCGAGUAAAA
rnacentral:lncRNA from 1 species